CGAAGGAACGCUACCCCGCGGCGUCCGCGGGCACGGGCGGGCGGGCGCGCCGGCCAUGGAGGCCCUGCGGAGGGUCCACGAGGCCGCGCUGCGGCUGCUGCUGCUGCCGCUGUCCGGCCCCUGGGCUGCGGGCGCCGCCUCCCGCCCGAAGCCCCGCGCGUCCGAGGUGCUGACGCGGCACCUGCUGCAGCGGCGCCUGCCGCACUGGACCUCCUUCUGCGUGCCCUACAGCGCCGUCCGCAACGACCAGUUCGGCCUCUCGCACUUCAACUGGCCCGUGCAGGGCGCCAACUACCACGUCCUGCGCACCGGCUGCUUCCCCUUCAUCAAGUACCACUGCUCCAAGGCCCCCUGGCAGGACCUGGCCCGGCAGAACCGCCUCUUCACGGCGCUCAAGGUCGUCAACCUGGGGAGAUGCCAGCUGACAUGGAUUUUUUCUCUUCGUCCUCUGUGAGGCAUCACAGCGGCCGGAAGGCAGCGCACAGGGGCCCAGCACAGUCACACGCUGCAAGUGGGCAGAGCUCAGCAAAUGGGCUCUUGUGGAAACACAAGGGAAAAGUAUUCCAACUUUGCUGUACGGGCUAGGCUCCUGGCUGUUUGCCAGGGUCACAGAGACUGUCUAUACCAGUUAUGGACCUAUAACAGUUUAUUUUCUGAAUAAAGAAGAUGAAGGUGCCAUGUACUGACAGUGUGCCUGGGAGGAUGUAAACACCUGGCUUUUUCUCUUGUGUGUAUAUGCAAUAUUUAUUUUUGAUCCCUUCAAAAUAAAACUUUUGCAAACACCUUU